UUUUACUAUAAGCAGCAAGCUAUGAGGCAGUACCCUCAACAGUCUUGGCUAACAGUCCUUAGCCCAAUUACCUAGUUCACUAGUGACAUUCUCUAGUUUCCACAAAACCACAGCUGACAGUGUUGCUAACUACAUAAUAAGAAUAUAUAAUAAGAAUUACAUAGUAACUACAUAGUAAGAAUCUUCCUUCCUCCAGUUUCCAAUAACAUGCUCCUCAUUUACUUUUAAGUCCUCACCAGCAGUCUCUUCAAUGUCCUUCCAGCUCCUACCAAUUGCUCAGUUCCAAAACCAUUCCUAAAUUUUAAGUUUUUAUUAUGGCAGCCUCCCACUUCUAAAUACCGAAGUCUUUAUUAGUUAUCUAUUGCUUUAUAAAGAAUUACCCAACGCUUAGCAGCUUAAACUUUUUUUUUUUUCCUCCGUGCAGUUUCUGAGGGCCAGGAACCUGGGUGGUUCUGGCUUAGGGCCUUCCAUAGGUUGUAGCCAAGUUGCUGGCCAGGGCUGCAGUUAUGAUUUGACUGGGGAUGGAGGAUUCACCUCUAACAUGGCAUCUUUCAUGUGGCUGUUGGCUAGAGGCUCAGUUCCUCACUGACUAUUGUCAGGAGGCCACAGUUCCUUGUCACAAGAGACUCCAGAAGGCUACUUGGCAUAACAGCUGGCUUCCCUCAAAAGAAACUAUUCUAAAGAGAGUGACCAAGAGGGAAGUAACAAUGCCUUUUAUGAUCUAGUCUCUGUAUUCACACAUGAUCACUUCUUCUUUAUUCUAUUGGUCAUACAAACCAAUCCAGACACACAGGGACUAACAAGGAUAUGAACACCAGCAGAUGAAGAUCAUCAGUACCAUCUUGGAGGCUGGCUACCACAACAGUUAAAGAACUCCCUUUAGCAUUUCUCGUAGGACAGGUCUGGUGUUAAUGAAAUCCCUCAGCUUUUGUUUGUCUGGAAAAGUGUGUCUCCUUCAUGUUUAAAGGAUAUUUUAGCUGGAUAUACUACUCUAAGCAACCCAGUGAUUCCAUGGAAAGCAGAAAGAAGGACAUAAAGAAACGGAUACUUGGUGACAUCUUUGACUCACUGGAUCAAACCUUGCCUGAAGCUCACAUUUCUGAAAUUUCCAGAUACAAGAACAAAUACUUCCUCUUUAUUGUUUUACUAGAUUUGAGACAAGCUUUAAGUUUCUCAGACUCUUCCUCUUCCUAACAGAUUUAUCAGAAGCUGAAAGCUCUGAUCUUGUUGGGAUGCGGAUCGUGUCAGGAGAAGGCUUACUUUGCACGCUUUUCUUAGUCUGGUUGCCUAACUCAAGAACCUCGGCAUGGCUCUGUUACUUCUCUACUCAGACAAGCAUCCCUGCAGACACUCACUAGGCUAACUCUGUCUUUAUUUUUAGAAUUAGACCUUUACGAGAAGCACAGUUUUGUCUUCAGUUUCCUCUCCCCCCACCCGGAAUGGCCUGAGCCGAAGCCAGCUCCCUCCGAGAAGUCAUUACCGCCUGACUUGCGUUUGAUAUUUAGACACCUUGGUCACAACAUCUUGCAUUCUCUCGGGAUGCUGAUUUCUAACUGCUCUUUGGCCUUUCCUGCAUUGGUCCUCCUCAGGCAGGGGAUCCCUGCUCUUCUAUAUUAGUGAGAAAACCAAGGCUCAGAGAAACUGUGGAUUUUCUAAGGAUGCUGGCUCCCCGUCCCCUGUCCACCAUGAGUCAAAGCAAUGUGAGUCCCUCACCAGAUGCAACUGCCCAGUCUUGGACUUUCCAGUGACCAGAAUCAUGAGCCAAAUAAACCUCUUUUCUUUAUGAA
rnacentral:lncRNA from 1 species